rnacentral:rRNA from 1 species
GCAAGUCGAACGGCAGCGCGGGCUUCGGCCUGGCGGCGAGUGGCGAACGGGUGAGUAAUACAUCGGAACGUGCCCUGUUGUGGGGGAUAACUAGUCGAAAGAUUAGCUAAUACCGCAUACGACCUGAGGGUGAAAGCGGGGGACCGCAAGGCCUCGCGCAAUAGGAGCGGCCGAUGUCUGAUUAGCUAGUUGGUGGGGUAAAGGCCUACCAAGGCGACGAUCAGUAGCUGGUCUGAGAGGACGAUCAGCCACACUGGGACUGAGACACGGCCCAGACUCCUACGGGAGGCAGCAGUGGGGAAUUUUGGACAAUGGGGGCAACCCUGAUCCAGCAAUGCCGCGUGUGUGAAGAAGGCCUUCGGGUUGUAAAGCACUUUUGUCCGGAAAGAAAUCGCGCUGGCUAAUACCUGGCGUGGAUGACGGUACCGGAAGAAUAAGCACCGGCUAACUACGUGCCAGCAGCCGCGGUAAUACGUAGGGUGCGAGCGUUAAUCGGAAUUACUGGGCGUAAAGCGUGCGCAGGCGGUUUUGUAAGACAGGCGUGAAAUCCCCGAGCUCAACUUGGGAAUGGCGCUUGUGACUGCAAGGCUAGAGUAUGUCAGAGGGGGGU